rnacentral:lncRNA from 10 species
GAAAUAGUACAGAAGAGCAAAGAAUAAUAAUGAGUCAGCUAGACAGAAGACAGGAGUCAUCAGAUUUGUACCCUAGUUACUCGACCCAUCAACUGACUGUGGUUUUUGGGUUUGUCUGCUUCUUGUUAUUGGGCCUCGAGAAAAUGCAGCCGGACCUGGCUUGGUUCCAGGAACAACAAGAAUAAAGACUUGCUGGGUUCCCACCACACAUGUUGUCGUGAGCUCACUACACACCCUGUCCCUGGAGCAUUGGGAUGCAGCCUGGAGCCAGGAAGAUGACAGUGUUGUGCACAGCUCUGCACUGGUAAUGCACUAUGCAUGAGUCGCCCUCAGGACCUUGUGUUACUGCUGCUGGUUGGCUGGCCAGGCACUGCUGGAUACAGCAAGGGCACUGGCGAUAGCAGGCAGCAGCUUCAGUCCACACCUGCCAACUUCAGCCUAGCCAAGGGCACCCACAUCAGCACGUCCAC